AAAGUUAAGUGACCCUAUGAGCUUCAGUCUCUUUGUAAAGUGGAAAUAAUACUUGGCAGAGGCCUGAAGGUUAUAGUAUUACAAUGUUUAUUCCUGACACAGACUGGAUAAUAUAUGACUAUUGGUUGUUAGUAUAAAUAGUGACAGUCUUUUCCUUUGCCCAGUUUAAGGCUUUUAUUAGGGCUAAAACUUCAACCUUUUGGGCCGAGUCCCAUGAGAAGGGCCUGAGCCCAGAUGACCCACUCUAGGGUGACUACGGCUGCCCCCCAAUACCUCACUCCGUUGACUACAAAACUGCUGCCAUCUGUAUACAGUACCUUUUCCGUGUUCCGUAAGGGAACGUCGGUGAGGUCCGGUUGAGCGGUUUGGAUGACAUUUAUUUUUUGUUGACAGUUAUGUAUGGGUUCUUCUGGCUUACUGUUAGGCAGCGGUGUGGCUGGAUUUAGGACUAUAGUUUUCAAGAACUGGAUGUGGGGCUGGUCCAAAAGUAGAGCCUGGUACUGUACUAUGCGGGCAUUAGACAUCCACUUUCCUGAAGCCCCGCGGAGUAGUGAUUUUACUGCAUGGGGUGCUACUAGGUUUAAUAGCUGCCCCAGAGUUAGUUUGUCUGCUUCCCUUACCAACAGGGCUGUUGCUGCCACAGACCAAAGGCAGGCUGGCCACCCAGAGGCUACAGGAUUAAGUUUUUUUGAUAGGUAGGCAACUGGCCUGGACCAUGGUCCUAAUGUCUGGGUGAGCACCUGCUUCACGAUUCCUUGUUUUUUUAUGUACAAACAACCAGAAGGGUUUAGAAAUAUCUGGAAAGGCCAGGGCUGGGGCCAAGGUCAGAGCGGCUUUAAGUUUAUUAAAAGCCUGUUUUACUAUUGUCUAAAUUAGGGGUUGAUUCCCUCCUGUGCAGGCAUACAGAGGCUUGGCUAUUUUGAUAAAACCUAAAAUCCAUAGCCUACAGUACUUUACUGCCCCAAGGAACUCCCAAACUUGGCGUUUUGUGGUAGGGCUGGGUAUCUGUAGUGCUGCUUGGACUUGGCUGCGCGCCAGUGCCCGGCUGCUUUUUUCUAUGAUAUAGCCCAGGUAAGUAACCUUUUGUUGACAGAGUUGGGCUUCUUUGGCUGAGACUUGAUAUUCCAGAGUUUCUACGGUUAACAGUAAAAACUGGGUGGCUUCCUUGCAGGCCUCUUGGGUUUUUGAGGU